AGCGAACGCUGGCGGCAGGCUUAACACAUGCAAGUCGAGCGGGCACUUUCGGGUGUCAGCGGCGGACGGGUGAGUAACGCGUGGGAACGUGCCCUCUGGUUCGGAAUAACUCAGGGAAACUUGAGCUAAUACCGGAUACGCCCUUUUGGGGAAAGGCUUGCUGCCGGAGGAUCGGCCCGCGUCUGAUUAGCUAGUUGGUGAGGUAACGGCUCACCAAGGCGACGAUCAGUAGCUGGUCUGGGAGGAUGAUCAGCCACACUGGGACUGAGACACGGCCCAGACUCCUACGGGAGGCAGCAGUGGGGAAUAUUGGACAAUGGGCGCAAGCCUGAUCCAGCCAUGCCGCGUGAGUGAUCAAGGCCUUAGGGUUGUAAAGCUCUUUUAUCCGGGACGAUAAUGACGGUACCGGAGGAAUAAGCCCCGGCUAACUUCGUGC
rnacentral:rRNA from 1 species